rnacentral:rRNA from 1 species
UAGGGAAUCUUCCACAAUGGGCGAAAGCCUGAUGGAGCAACGCCGCGUGUGUGAUGAAGGCUUUCGGGUCGUAAAGCACUGUUGUAUGGGAAGAACAGCUAGAAUAGGAAAUGAUUUUUAGUUUUGACGGUACCAUACCAGAAAGGGACGGCUAAAUACGUGUCAG